UACGUAGGGUGCGAGCGUUAAUCGGAAUUACUGGGCGUAAAGCGCGCGUAGGCGGCUUUGCAAGUCGGGUGUGAAAUCCCCAGGCUUAACCUGGGAACUGCAUUCGAGACUGCAUGGCUAGAGUAUGGGAGAGGGAAGUGGAAUUUCAGGUGUAGCGGUGAAAUGCGUAGAUAUCUGAAGGAACAUCAGUGGCGAAAGCGACUUCCUGGACCAAUACUGACGCUCAUGUGCGAAAGCGUGGGGAGCAAACAGG
rnacentral:rRNA from 1 species